rnacentral:rRNA from 1 species
AUUAGAGUUUGAUCCUGGCUCAGAAUCAACGCUGGCGGCGUGCCUCAGACAUGCAAGUCGAACGAUUAAACUCGUCUUCGGACGAGAUAUAAAGUGGCGCACGGGUGAGUAACACGUAGGUAAUCUGCCUUUGAGUGGGGAAUAACGUUCGGAAACGAACGCUAAUACCGCAUAAUGCAGCGGCAUCGUAAGAUGACAGUUGUUAAAGCGAGCAAUCGCGCUUAAAGAGGAGCCUGCGGCAGAUUAGCUAGUUGGUAAGGUAAUGGCUUACCAAGGCGACGAUCUGUAACCGACCUGAGAGGGUGGUCGGUCACACUGACACUGAAUAACGGGUCAGACUCCUACGGGAGGCAGCAGUCGGGAAUUUUGGGCAAUGGGCGAAGGCCUGACCCAGCAACGCCGCGUGAAGGAUGAAGUAUUUCGGUAUGUAAACUUCGAAAGAAUGGGAAGAAUCAAUGACGGUACCAUUUAUAAGGUCCGGCUAACUACGUGCCAGCAGCCGCGGUAAUACGUAGGGACCAAGCGUUGUUCGGAUUUACUGGGCGUAAAGGGCGCGUAGGCGGCGUGUUAAGUCAGCUGUGAAAUCUCCGAGCUUAACUCGGAACGGUCAGCUGAUACUGAUGUGCUAGAGUGCAGAAGGGGCAAUCGGAAUUCUUGGUGUAGCGGUGAAAUGCGUAGAUAUCAAGAGGAACACCUGAGGUGAAGACGGGUUGCUGGGCUGACACUGACGCUGAGGCGCGAAAGCUAGGGUAGCAAACGGGAUUAGAUACCCCGGUAGUCCUAGCCCUAAACGAUGAAUACUUGGUGUCUGGAGUAAUUUAAUUCUCCGGGUGCCGUCGCUAACGUUUUAAGUAUUCCGCCUGGGGAGUACGCACGCAAGUGUGAAACUCAAAGGAAUUGACGGGGGCCCGCACAAGCGGUGGAGUAUGUGGUUUAAUUCGAUGCAACGCGAAGAACCUUACCAGGGCUUGACAUGUCCGGAAUCUUCGGGAAACCGAGGAGUGCCUUCGGGAGCCGGAACACAGGUGGUGCAUGGCUGUCGUCAGCUCGUGUCGUGAGAUGUUGGGUUAAGUCCCGCAACGAGCGCAACCCUCGUUUUUAGUUGCCAGCAUUAAGUUGGGCACUCUAGAGAGACUGCCGGUGACAAACCGGAGGAAGGUGGGGAUGACGUCAAGUCAGCAUGCCCCUUACGUCCUGGGCUACACACGUACUACAAUGCUACGGACAAAGGGCAGCAAGCAUGCGAAUGCAAGCAAAUCCCAGAAACCGUGGCUCAGUUCAGAUUGCAGGCUGCAACUCGCCUGCAUGAAGUUGGAAUCGCUAGUAAUCGCAGGUCAGCAAUACUGCGGUGAAUACGUUCCCGGGCCUUGUACACACCGCCCGUCACACCAUGGAAGCUGGUUUAGCCCGAAGUCGUUACCCUAACCGCAAGGAAGGGGACGCCGAAGGCAGGGCUGGUGACUGGGGUGAAGUCGUAACAAGGUAACCAAU